rnacentral:rRNA from 1 species
UGCCAGCCGCCGCGGUAAUACGGAGGGGGUUAGCGUUGUUCGGAAUUACUGGGCGUAAAGCGUACGUAGGCGGUUUUAUAAGUCAGAUGUGAAAUCCCCGGGCUCAACUUGGGAACUGCGUUUGAAACUGUAAGACUAGAGUGUGUCAGAGGGGGGUAGAAUUCCAUGUGUAGCAGUGAAAUGCGUAGAUAUAUGGAGGAAUACCAAUGGCGAAGGCAGCCCCCUGGGAUAACACUGACGCUCAUGCACGAAAGCGUGGGGAGCAAAUGGGAUUAGAUA